UACGAAGGGUGCAAACGUUGCUCGGAAUCAUUGGGCGUAAAGCGCACGUAGGCGGCCUUGUAAGUCGGAUGUGAAAUCCCUCGGCUCAACCGAGGAAGUGCAUCCGAAACUGCGAGGCUCGAGUAUGGAAGAGGGUCGCAGAAUUCCCGGUGUAGAGGUGAAAUUUGAUAAAAUUAGAGAGAAUACCAAUGGCGUAAGCAACUAUCUGGUCCUUAACUGAUACUGAGGUGCGAAGGUAUGGGGAGCGAAUAGG
rnacentral:rRNA from 1 species